CCCAUUUUACUAGAUUAAUUAAGCACAAUCAAGAUGAAAUACACCCAAAAGAUAAUGGAUUGGGAAAAACUAGGAGCUGAAGAUCAUAAGAUAAGGAUCAAAGGAUAAACAAAAGUGACAACUUAAAAAUACAAAUCAUAACAAAAGCAACAGGGAUAGAAAAGACACCCCACCUUGACCAUAAAUUUUUAUUAUUUACAAUUCCAUGGGCUUUUCCAAUUUUCUCCCUCAAAACCCUUGAAAGGGAAAAGAGAGAAAAUGGGGAAGGGACCCCUUCUUAAAAGACAACUUGCUCAUUCAUCAUCAUCCAUUGUUAUUCUUCUCAAGCAUCAUCACCAUCUUUCUUCAAAUUAUCAAAUAAAUUAAAAACUAAAUUAAGCAUUGCUCCUGAAGGAUCCUAGAGCCUUAAUGGCUGCUGCUCUCAGAAUGUAUUGGUGGUAGAAAGCAGCAAUAGCGGCUCCAAUAAAAGGUCCAACCCAGAAGAU
rnacentral:misc_RNA from 1 species